rnacentral:tRNA from 1 species
CGUGCCGGGGUCGCGGUCACCGGCGGCGGAUCGCUGAUGCCGAUCCCCGAACUGAUCCGGCUGGCCGCCGCAGCCCAGCACUACC